CUGGAUCUAAAGCACAGUUCAGGUUAAUUUUGACUGAUAAAGCAUUCAAUUCCUGCCUCACUGAAAGUAUAAUUCCACUAGGGCCAUACCAGCAGAGUGUCUGUCUGAACGCAUCUUCCUCAUUUCAUACAAGAUGCUGGCAGGUAAAAUGACUCUCCUAUUCAAGUCUGAUUCAAAGAAAAGAGAAAGAGCAUGCAUUUUGGGCUCAAAGGCUUAAAUGAAAGAAGAAAGAUAUAUUUCAUGUUAUCAAUUGUCGGUCUUUUAAAAAGACUUGAUGCUCUAACGGUAGAUGAUGAUGAAAUUGAAGAAAUAUAAGGGAUUUGUGAUGGGGCACUCCUGAGUGUAUGUGCAAGCUGGG
rnacentral:lncRNA from 1 species